rnacentral:rRNA from 1 species
AACGAACGCUGGCGGCAGGCCUAACACAUGCAAGUCGAGCGAGGACUUCGGUUCUAGCGGCGGACGGGUGAGUAACGCGUGGGAAUGUGCCCUUCUCUACGGAAUAGCUCUGGGAAACUGGGAGUAAUACCGUAUACGCCCUUUUGGGGAAAGAUUUAUCGGAGAAGGAUCAGCCCGCGUUGGAUUAGGUAGUUGGUAGGGUAAUGGCCUACCAAGCCGACGAUCCAUAGCUGGUUUGAGAGGAUGAUCAGCCACACUGGGACUGAGACACGGCCCAGACUCCUACGGGAGGCAGCAGUGGGGAAUCUUAGACAAUGGGGGCAAUCCUGAUCUAGCCAUGCCGCGUGAGUGAUGAAGGCCUUAGGGUUGUAAAGCUCUUUCAGCUGGGAAGAUAAUGACGGUACCAGCAGAAGAAGCCCCGGCUAACUCCGUG